rnacentral:rRNA from 1 species
UAAAAAUGUAAUUUAUUUAAACUAAAUUAGUAUUAGUUAAGUUCUUGAAAAUUAAAAAUUUUGGCGGUAUUUUAGUCUAUUCAGAGGAACCUGUUCUAUAAUUGAUAAUCCACGAUAAAUUGAACUUAUUUUAAUUAAUUUGUAUAUCGUUGUAGUUUAAAUAUUUUUAAAGAAGAUUAAUAUUUAAUAUUUUUUAUGAAAAAAUAAAUCAAAUCAAGGUGCAGUUUAUAAAUAAGAAGAAAUGGGUUACAUUAUUAAUAAAUAUUGGAUUAAAAAUUGAAAAUUUUUUUGAAAUUGGAUUUGAAAGUAAUUGAAUAUAUUUUUGUAAAGUGAUUUUAGCUCUAAAAUAUGU